rnacentral:rRNA from 1 species
AGAGCGAACGCUGGCGGCAGGCCUAAUACAUGCAAGUCGAACGCACCUUCGGGUGAGUGGCGGACGGGUGAGUAACACGUGGGAACGUGCCCUUUGGUUCGGAAUAAUCCGGGGAAACCUGGCCUAAUACCGGAUGUGCCCUUCGGGGGAAAGAUUUAUCGCCAUUGGAGCGGCCCGCGUCUGAUUAGCUUGUUGGUGGGGUAAUGGCCCACCAAGGCUACGAUCAGUAGCUGGUCUGAGAGGAUGAUCAGCCACACUGGGACUGAGACACGGCCCAGACUCCUACGGGAGGCAGCAGUAGGGAAUCUUGCGCAAUGGGCGAAAGCCUGACGCAGCCAUGCCGCGUGAAUGAUGAAGGUCUUAGGAUUGUAAAAUUCUUUCAGCGGGGAAGAUAAUGACUGUACCCGCAGAGAAGCUCGGCUAACUCGCGCCAGCAGCCGC